rnacentral:rRNA from 1 species
GAUGAACGCUAGCGGCAGGCCUAAUACAUGCAAGUCGGACGGGAUCGGGGAGCUUGCUCCCCGUGAGAGUGGCGCACGGGUGCGUAACACGUAUGUAACCUACCUUUACCAGGGGGAUAGCCUCUCGAAAGAGAGAUUAACACCGCAUAACAUCACAUGAUAGCAUUAUCGAGUGAUCAAAUAUUCAUAGGAUAAAGAUGGGCAUGCGGGACAUUAGCGAGUUGGCGGGGUAACGGCCCACCAAGGCGACGAUGUCUAGGGGAUCUGAGAGGAUGACCCCCCACACUGGUACUGAGACACGGACCAGACUCCUACGGGAGGCAGCAGUAAGGAAUAUUGGUCAAUGGACGCAAGUCUGAACCAGCCAUGCCGCGUGCAGGAGGACGGCCCUACGGGUUGUAAACUGCUUUUGUACCGGAAUAAACCCUUUUACGUGUAAGAGGCUGAAUGUACGGUAAGAAUAAGGAUCGGCUAACUCCGUGCCAGCCGCCGCGGUAACAC